CCUACGGGUGGCAGCAGUGAGGAAUAUUGGUCAAUGGACGAGAGUCUGAACCAGCCAAGUAGCGUGAAGGAUGACUGCCCUAUGGGUUGUAAACUUCUUUUAUAUGGGAAUAAAAUGUUCCACGUGUGGGAUUUUGUAUGUACCAUAUGAAUAAGGAUCGGCUAACUCCGUGCCAGCAGCCGCGGUAAUACGGAGGAUACGAGCGGUAUCCGGAUUUAUUGGGUUUAAAGGGAGCGUAGGCGGAUUGUUAAGUCAGUUGUGAAAGUUUGCGGCUCAACCGUAAAAUUGCAGUUGAAACUGGCAGUCUUGAGUACAGGAGAGGUGGGCGGAAUUCGUGGUGUAGCGGUGAAAUGCUUAGAUAUCACGAAGAACUCCGAUUGCGAAGGCAGUUCACUGGACGGCAACUGACACUGAGGCUCGAAAGUGUGGGUAUCAAACAGGAUUAGAUACCCGAGUAGUC
rnacentral:rRNA from 1 species